GUUGGUUUACCUAUUUGAUAUAUAGUCAUUCUACCAUCACUAUAUGGUAUCUACUAUAGUAUCUCUUCCUCGUCAAUUGUUGUAUGUUGUAUUUUUUUGUCACAGCCUAUUUACAAUUGUGGACCCCAAUGGGGAUCUCUCCUCAGGAGAUCUUCCCCGUUUUCUUUUCUUUUCCCAUACAAUUAUCCCUUUUUAACCUAAUUAUGUCCCAG